GACGAACGCUGGCGGCGUGCUUAACACAUGCAAGUCGAACGGAAAGGCCUCUUUCGGGGGGUACUCGAGUGGCGAACGGGUGAGUAACACGUGAGUAACCUGCCCUUGACUUUGGGAUAACUUCAGGAAACUGGGGCUAAUACCGGAUAGGAGCUCCUGCUGCCUGGUGGGGGUUGGAAAGUUUCGGCGGGUGGGGAUGGACUCGCGGCUUAUCAGCUUGUUGGUGGGGUAGUGGCUUACCAAGGCUUUGACGGGUAGCCGGCCUGAGAGGGUGACCGGCGACAUUGGGACUGAGAUACGGCCCAGCUUCCUACGGGAGGCAGCAGUGGGGAAUAUUGCACAAGGGGUGGAAGCCUGAUGCAGCAGCGCCGUGUGCGGGAUGACGGGCUUCGGGUUGUAAACCGCUUUCGCUCAUGACGAAGCGUUGUGUGACGGUAGUGGGUAAAGAAGCACCGGCUAACUACGUG
rnacentral:rRNA from 1 species